rnacentral:rRNA from 1 species
UUGACGGGGCCCGCACAAGCGGUGGAGCAUGUGGUUUAAUUCGACGCAACGCGAAGAACCUUACCAGGGCUUGACAUCCCCUGACCGCGUAUGAAAGUACGUUUCCACCCUCGGGUGACAGGGAGACAGGUGGUGCAUGGUUGUCGUCAGCUCGUGUCGUGAGAUGUUGGGUUAAGUCCCGCAACGAGCGCAACCCCUACGUUUAGUUGCUAACGCGUGAAGGCGAGCACUCUAGACGAACUGCCGUUGACAAAACGGAGGAAGGUGGGAUGACGUCAAAUCAUCAUGCCCCUUAUGUUCUGGGCUACACACGUGCUACAAUGGCCGGUACAGACGGACGCAAAGCCGCGAGGUGGAGCAAAUCCUAAAAAGCCGGUCUCAGUUCGGAUUGCAGGCUGCAAUUCGCCUGCAUGAAGUCGGAAUCGCUAGUAAUCGCAGGUCAGCAUACUGCGGUGAAUACGUUCCCGGGCCUU